rfam:Neolentinus lepideus HHB14362 ss-1 unplaced genomic scaffold NEOLEscaffold_16, whole genome shotgun sequence.
GACACCGUGGCCGAGUGGUUAAGGCGACAGAUUAGAAUCUCUUCUAUUAUCUGUUCCGCUCUGCGGGCACAGGUUCGAGUCCUGUCGGUGUCG